rnacentral:rRNA from 1 species
GACGAACGCUGGCGGCGUGCUUAACACAUGCAAGUCGAACGGAAAGGCCCUGCUUUUGUGGGGUGCUCGAGUGGCGAACGGGUGAGUAACACGUGAGUAACCUGCCCUUGACUUUGGGAUAACUUCAGGAAACUGGGGCUAAUACCGGAUAGGAGCUCCUGCUGCAUGGUGGGGGUUGGAGAGUUUCGGCGGUUGGGGAUGGACUCGCGGCUUAUCAGCUUGUUGGUGGGGUAGUGGCUUACCAAGGCUUUGACGGGUAGCCGGCCUGAGAGGGUGACCGGCCACAUUGGGACUGAGAUACGGCCCAGACUCCUACGGGAGGCAGCAGUGGGGAAUAUUGCACAAUGGGCGGAAGCCUGAUGCAGCAACGCCGCGUGCGGGAUGACGGCCUUCGGGUUGUAAACCGCUUUCGCCUGUGACGAAGCGUGAGUGACGGUAAUGGGUAAAGAAGCACCGGCUAGCUACGUG